rfam:Ictidomys tridecemlineatus contig041844, whole genome shotgun sequence.
GGGGUUGUGGCUCAGCGGUAGAGUGCUCACUUAGCAUGUGUGAAGCCCUGGGUUCUAUCCUCAGCACCUCUU